ACGCGCGCUACACUGAUG
rnacentral:siRNA from 1 species